GAUGAACGCUGGCGGCGUGCCUAAUACAUGCAAGUAGAGCGAACGGACGAGAAGCUUGCUUCUCUGAUGUUAGCGGCGGACGGGUGAGUAACACGUGGAUAACCUACCUAUAAGACUGGGAUAACUUCGGGAAACCGGAGCUAAUACCGGAUAAUAUUUUGAACCGCAUGGUUCAAAAGUGAAAGACGGUCUUGCUGUCACUUAUAGAUGGAUCCGCGCUGCAUUAGCUAGUUGGUAAGGUAACGGCUUACCAAGGCAACGAUGCAUAGCCGACCUGAGAGGGUGAUCGGCCACACUGGAACUGAGACACGGUCCAGACUCCUACGGGAGGCAGCAGUAGGGAAUCUUCCGCAAUGGGCGAAAGCCUGACGGAGCAACGCCGCGUGAGUGAUGAAGGUCUUCGGAUCGUAAAACUCUGUUAUUAGGGAAGAACAUAUGUGUAAGUAACUGUGCACAUCUUGACGGUACCUAAUCAGAAAGCCACGGCUAACUACGUG
rnacentral:rRNA from 1 species